rnacentral:rRNA from 1 species
GAUCCUGGCUCAGGGUGAACGCUAGCGGUGCGCCUAACACAUGCAAGUCGAGCGAGAAGUUCUAGCUUGCUAGAAGAUAGAAAGCGGCGAACGGGUGAGUAACACGUUGGUAUCUGCCCAAGUCAGGGAUAGCCAGAGGAAACUCUGAUUAAUACCGGAUAAUCUCUUUCGAGAGAAGAUUUAUUGCUUGGGGAGGAACCUGCGGUCUAUCAGCUAGUUGGUGAGAUAAUAGCACCAAGGCAAUGACGGAUAUCUGGUCUGAGAGGAUGACCAGACACAAUGGAACUGAGACGGUCCAUACUCCUACGGGAGGCAGCAGUGAGGAAUCUUCCACAAUGGACGAAAGUCUUGGAGCGACACCGCGUGAAGGAUGACGGCCUAACGGUUGUAAACUUCUUUUCUGAAGGCAUAAUGAGAGUACUUCAGGAAUAAGAGACGGCUAAUUACGUGCCAGCAGCCGCGGUAACGUAAGUCUCGAGUGUUACCCGGAAUCAUUGGGUGUAAAGGGUUCGUAGGCGGGUUAAAGUUGGAAAUGAAAGACCGAGGCUCAACCUCGUGUAUGUCUCCAAAACUGUUAACCUAAUUAGGGAGAGGUAAGCGGAAUUCUAAGUGUAGGGGUGCAAUCCGUAGAUACUUAGAAACACCAAAAGCGAAGGCAGCUUACUGGAACUAUAUUGACGCUGAGGAACGAAAGCGUGUAGCGAAAAGGAUUAGAUACCCUUGUAGUCCACGCCCUAAACGAUGAUAACUAAGUGGGGACUAGAUCCCAGUGCUGAAGCUAACGCGCUAAGUUAUCCACCUGAGGAGUACGGUCAAGAUUAAAACUCAAAGGAAUAGACGGGGACCCACACAAGCAGUGGAUCACGUGGUUAUUCGAUAAUAAACGGGGAACCUUACCCAGACUUGACAUCCUAGGAAUCUUUGAGAGAAGAGAGUGCUUUUAUUAGAGCCUAGUGACAGGUGCUGCAUGGUUGUCGUCAGCUCGUAUUGAGGUGUUCGGUUAAGUCCGUUAACGAGCGCAACCCAUGUUCUUAGUUAUAAUGUCAGAAGACUGCCUUGGUUAACAAGGAGGAAGAUGUGGAUGACGUCAAAUCAGCAUGGCUUACGUCUGGGGCUACACACAUGAUACAAUGGUGCAUACAAAGGGCAGCAAUACAGUGAUUGAGCGAAUCCUAAAAGUGCAUCUUAGUCCGGAUUGGAGUCUGAAAUUCGACUCCAUAGUUGGAAUUGCUAGUAAUCGUGAAUCAGAUAUGUCACGGUGAAUAUGUUCCUGGGUCGUACUCACCGCCCGUCAUGGCAUGGGAGGCAGUAAUAUUGGAA